GGGUGUGUUGUUGUGUAUGUUGGACUGUCACUUUAAGAGUUCAAUCACAUGAUAUGAUAAUGAUGUCAUCAGCCAGUUUGGAAGGAAAUAGUUCAGCCCAGUUUGCUUCCUUGUAAACAUCUCUUAAAUAAAUACUGUUGCUGUUUUAGAUGCUGUAGCCCGUUGCCCUUUUUGAAGUGUAAAAGUUCAAGUCAUAAGAUGAGGAAAAAUGCUGGUCAUCAAUAAGGAGGAACUUCAUAGAAAAUAAUAAUCUGAUCUUUCCAUUAAUGAUCAGAAAGAUCCAAAAAGGAUUUGGAAGUUACUGAAAACCAAUUUGAGGCAGCCUUCUCACUCGCGCCUUCAACUGACAACUUGAACACCGCAGUAUUUAACAAGAAAUUGAAUCAACUGUUGAUAUUCACGUGGCCAUUCGAUUGAACAAGUAUAUUUGAGUUGAACAAUGGAUUAUAUUUGGCUUCAACUGGCCACUGGGAGCAAGCAAAUGAGAUUUCAGAAGUCUGCGGUAGAAGAAUGUAGAAGUGGCAAGAAUUAUUAUGAAGCAAACAUUGUACCGAUAUACAUUUAAGGAGAAGUGAUGAUGCAGCAGUAAAGUCACUGGACAAGUGAUUCUGAGACCAAGUCUAAUGUUCUGGAGACAUGGGUUUGAAUCCUGAUAUAGCAGAUGGAGAAACAUAAAUUCAAUAAAAUC